rnacentral:rRNA from 1 species
UACAGAGGUCUCAAGCGUUGUUCGGAUUCAUUGGGCGUAAAGGGUGCGUAGGCGGCGCGGUAAGUCGGGUGUGAAAUCUUGGAGCUUAACUCCGAAACUGCAUUCGAUACUGCCGUGCUUGAGGACUGGAGAGGAGACUGGAAUUUACGGUGUAGCAGUGAAAUGCGUAGAUAUCGUAAGGAAGACCAGUGGCGAAGGCGGGUCUCUGGACAGUUCCUGACGCUGAAGCACGAAGGCCAGGGGAGCAAACGGG